GAAAUGCGAUAAGUAAUGUGAAUUGCAGAAUUCAGUGAAUCAUCGAAUCUUUGAACGCACAUUGCGCUCGCCAGUAUUCUGGCGAGCAUGCCUGUUCGAGCGUCAUUUCAACCAUCAAGCUCUGCUUGCGUUGGGGAUCCGCGGCUGCCCGCGGUCCCUCAAAAACAGUGGCGGGCUCGCUAGUCACACCGAGCGUAGUAACUCUACAUCGCUAUGGUCGCGCGGCGGGUUCUUGCCGUAAAACCCCCAAUUUCUAAGGUUGACCUCGGAUCAGGUAGGAAUACCCGCUGAACUUAAGC
rnacentral:misc_RNA from 1 species